rnacentral:rRNA from 1 species
UACGUAGGGUGCAAGCGUUGUCCGGGAUUACUGGGCGUAAAGGGCUCGUAGGCGGCCAACUAAGUCAGACGUGAAAUCCCUCGGCUUAACCGGGGAACUGCGUCUGAUACUGGAUGGCUUGAAUCCGGGAGAGGGAUGCGGAAUUCCAGGUGUAGCGGUGAAAUGCGUAGAUAUCUGGAGGAACACCGGUGGCGAAGGCGGCAUCCUGGACCGGCAUUGACGCUGAGGAGCGAAAGCUAGGGGAGCAAACGGG